AGCGAACGCUGGCGGCAUGCCUAACACAUGCAAGUCGCACGGGGGGGCUUCGGCCUCCCAGUGGCGGACGGGUGAGGAACGCGUAGGGACCUGUCGAGGGGUGGGGGAUAACCGCGGGAAACUGCGGCUAAUACCGCAUGACGCCGCGGCGUGACAGCCGGGGCCAAAGGCGAAAGCCGCCCGCCGAGGGGCUUGCGUCCGAUUAGCUGGUUGGCGGGGUAGCGGCCCACCAAGGCGUCGAUCGGUAGCUGGUCUGAGAGGGUGAUCAGCCACACCGGGACUGAGACACGGCCCGGACUCCUACGGGAGGCAGCAGUGGGGAAUAUUGGACAAUGGGCGCAAGCCUGAUCCAGCAAUGCCGCGUGGGUGAAGAAGGUCUUCGGAUUGUAAAGCCCUUUCGGCGGGGACGAUGGUGACGGUACCCGCAGAAGAAGCCCCGGCUAACUUCGUG
rnacentral:rRNA from 1 species